AAAAACAAAUUAAAAGAGAGAGAAGAGGAGGGAACCGAUCUGUUUCUAUAUAAACCCCUCCCCCCGUCUCAACCGAGGGGGGGCUGUAGAUUUUCGCUCUCUCUCAUCGUUCUCAAACUGUUUCGAGCGGUUGGGAGGAACUAGGGCUAGCUGGGGGGCUUAUUGAUGGCGGAGUCAUCAGCGAGUGCACCGUUUUUUGUGCAGGAGAAGGGGACGAAUGGCCUCGAUAAGCUCGUCCUUAGGGGGCCUCUAUCGAGUUCUGCUGAGAUUUAUGUAGAGAAUCUUGGUGCAAUGGGAGUUUGGGAUUCGGAGUUUGUUUCUUUUGUGUUGCUGCGAGUGCGAUUGAGCUGAAUCGAUCCGUGCGAUUCUUGAUGAAUCUUUUGGUUCAUGUGCUUGUUUGAUGUAACUUAAUAAUUAGACCAUGCUUUAAUGUUCUUGAAGUGUUCAUAUGCUCGUCCAUGAUUGA